UACGAAGGGUGCAAGCGUUGUUCGGAAUUACUGGGCGUAAAGGGCGCGUAGGCGGGUUUGUAAGUCGAUUGUGAAAUCCCUGGGCUUAACCCGGGAACUGCAGUCGAAACUGCAAAUCUUGAAUACCUGAGAGGAUGGCGGAAUUCCCGGUGUAGUAGUGAAAUACGUAGAUAUCGGGAAGAACACCUGAGGCGAAGGCGGCUAUCUGGCAGUGUAUUGACGCUGAGGCGCGACAGCGUGGGGAGCAAACAGG
rnacentral:rRNA from 1 species